rnacentral:lncRNA from 1 species
UUUUUAUUUUAUGUUAUGUAUUUUAUGUUAUUUAUUAUGAGUCUAUUGAUACUACUAAUAUAUUGUUUCUUGUUGUUCUCUUGAGCCGAGGGUCUCCUGGAAACCACCUCUCUGCCCCUCGGGGUAGGGGUAAGGUUUGCGUACAUAUUACCCUCCCCAGACCCCACUUGUGGGAUUACACUGGGAUGUUGUUGUUGUUGUUGUAUUUAAAAAUAUAGGGACCUAUUUUACGCCUAUAAAAUGUAAUUAUACAUUAAAUGGGCUAAUAUUACAAUUAUAUGCAAUUUAGCUUAAAAAAUACCAAAUGCAAUUAUAAAAAUGCAUAAAAAAUAUAUUAACCAUAUUUUGGCAUAACUAUAGGAAUUAAAUGACUAAAUUCUCAUAACAAUAAUUUAGAAAAUAAUUAUUGGGGAUUUUAUGAAUAAAAGUGAAGGAAAUAAAUCAAUUUAAAUCCUUAAAAUUAUGGAAAAAAAUAUAAAAGCCUUGUGCAUGCUUAUAUAUGCAUGUAUAUUGUAUUUCGAAGGUAUUUAUGUAUGUUUAAAAUAUAUAGGGAAAAAUUGGGUAUCAACAGCAGCCACCUCUUGGUACCCCAAAGCGGUUUCGGAUUUGUCGGGGUGGAUCGAACGGUUGGACACCGCGUUCCCAUAUCUUGUUCGGUCUUGGACCGACCUGGCAAAGAAGCUAUGAGUGGCCUAGAAUCAUGGCAAAGCUUUCGUACCACCUAUGCCUUAGAUUUCAUAUUUCUCCCCAUAUCCUUUGUGCUGAUAAAUUACGGUUACUGCGCUGGUGCAGGCUUGGUGAGAAUAUGUUGAUGAGGCCGCCCCCUGGUGGCAAUAUGGAGGCUUCGGAGCCCGGCAAGGGCAAGAAUAGGAAAGGUAAGGCGGUUGUUGAUCCUUCCGUGGCAAAGAAACCCAAGUCACGUGAGCAUCGAGCCGUUACUAGGAACUCGGCUUCAACUUCCGGAGCAAGUCCCUGUGCCGAGGAUUAGGAUGAUGAUGAUGAUGAUGAUGAGUACCGGUUGGCACGAAGGACGAGGUCGAGUUUGGUAGCCUCGCAAGUGCCUCGACCGGAGGCUGUUGAAUCUGGAAUAGCUGACUCGGGUCGGUUCCGUAGAUCGAAGACCCUCGAGAAGGGUGUCAAUGUGGCCUUGGAUCCCAUGAACGGGUUUGGUGCGGUUUUCGCUGGGGGGACCAUUGCCGCAGACCCUGAAGGGCCGGGACCCGGAGCUUUCCAGGAGUAGGAGUUGCCCCUCGGAGACAUCGGUGACAUAGAUGAUUUCAUUUCAGGCUUUCAGUUCUCGUCAAGGGAACUAAGGGAUGCUGAAGAAGCGAACGCCACCAAAUAUGGGGGUCCUCUCAAGGGGGAGGCACGCUUGGAAAUAUUCUUGACGAUGUUAGCGAGAAUGUCGAUCUUGACACUCCCAGCUCUGUCAAGGCGGCGGAGAGGUUCAUGCAGCAGGUGAUAGUUGUUUUAAGUAUAUUUCUUUUAGUCUCAAGCAUCUUCCUUCAUUCUUCUAACUCUUCUGUUUUUCUGUAGUGCAAGGAGAUGUAUGAUCAUGCCCUCUCCAGGCUUAACGAGGAGCUUUCAUGCCAUGAGAAAGAGCUUGAGAAGCUGUCUUUGAGACUGCGAGAGUCAGAAGCUCGUUCUGCUCGGAAGGAGAAAGAGUCAGGCGAGCUCCGGCUACUUUGGAGGGAGCACUCCAAGAAAAAGAUUCCAUUGUCGAGCAGGUAUUUUGUUAUUCAUGAGUCUUUCCUUCGCUCCCAUAAUUUGAUACUAACUAGUUUACUUUUCUUUUUGUAGGUCGAGCAAAAUGACUCGCAUAUUGGGUGACUGAAUGUGGAUAUCCUCGGACUGAGGAAACAAAAAGAGGCAGUGACCUCGGAGUUGGCACCGACCCAUGAUCUCAAGGAUGCUGGAAAGGAGAUUGUUGCACUGGUUGCGGCCAAGUACGAGAUCGAAGGAAAUGUUGCUACUUACCUGAAGGACGCAGCCACGGCGAAUCAAAUAGCCCGUGACGUAUCGAUAAAGGCCAAGCAGAAACUGGAUCGGGCUAUCGAAUAUGCUAGGGCGGAGGCGAGGAGGAAAACCUUGGAGGAGAUCGAGGCCGGAGGCAUCAAUCUGUCAGUUGGAAUUGAGGAGGCCCGGGAGUUGGAGAGAAAGUUGGCGCUUUUGAUCAUCCCAGACGAGGAUCCUGGAGAUGGUUCGGAGGGUAAUGGCAAUGAAUAGUAGGCCUUGUGUCGCUUUGCUUUUUUCCUUUUCUUUCUUUCUGUGCAUAUACUUCCGGGGGAGUGAGUCUUGUAAAGACGUCCCUUGUAAAUAUAUUUUUGGCAAUGAAAAAAGGGGUUUUUUCUGCCCCAAGUCUUUCCAUUCUUUAUAUCUUCCUGCUCUUGCGGAGCUAAUCUUUGAAUUGUAAUAUUAAUCCUUUAGAGCCCAUUUUUUGGAGUAAUCGGGACCCCUAAAAUCAGGUCCUAUAUCGAAGUUAGGUUGAUAGCUUCUUUGGGGCUGAUGCUUGUGAUGGCAAGAAGCCCCCGAGGUCUCGAUACCUCUCGACUCUCGUGGGGUAGUAGCAUUCAUGCGAUUUGAUAAAAGGGGCCCCGGUGUGAUCCUGGGUGAUCCCGCCAGUACAUUUCCCAAGGAAAAAGUGAUGUUACCAUGGUCGGGAUUAAUUGGCCAUCUAGGUAGGCGAGCAGUCGCUGCUUUGCCCCUAUAUAUUCAUUCACUUGCUUCCUCAGUGGAGAUUCUGCUACUUUGAGUAACCAUUUCUCCCAUAGAACUUGGUGUUUUGCGCUAGUUCUCUCGUUGUUUUAACUCAAAAUUUUUGCCCAUAUCUAUAUCCUCCUCCUCUUAUUCUAUCGUAGCAAUGACUGCUACGUCGAUAUCCGCCUAUCAAGGAGAGGGGAGUUCUGCCUCUGUUCCGCGUCCGGUCGGUGGUACACCACCGGUGCCCGGUGAGUGGGCCUCGAUGUGCUUUGUCUCGAGGAAAAACUUUACGUUGGAGAGACCUCCCAACGUCCAAGGACAUCGGGAGCACACGUUGAGGUUCAUCUCAUCAGUAGGGGACAAGCACCUCAAAAUGAUCAGAAAAGACUGUGGAUGGGGAGAAGGGGUGGUGUUACAAGUACCUUCUUCUGAGGAGAGCAUCAUGACCUACGUCGAGGGGUUUUUGAGCUUGUUUACGCACACUUUUACAUCGGGUCCCCCCGACCGGGUUGUGCUUGAGUUCUGUCGGAGAUAUCAGGUUACCUUAGCGCAGGCUCACCCAUCCCUUUGGAUGAUAGUGCAAACGAUAAGAUACUUUGCAGAGAAGGUCGGGCUCGACUUUACCCUUAGUCAUUUCGUGAGGUUAUAUCGGCCGCUUCGUUAUCGAGGUUUGAUUACUCUGCAUCAUCAAUCUACCCAGUCUUUUGCCGUCGAUAGUGAAGCAAACGAAGACCGAGGAUGGAUGAGCCGAUUCAUUCGAGCUCGGACAAUUGAUAUCAUUCCUGGAGAGUUUCUGCCCUUUCCUGAGAAAAUGGAAUUUCACAUGAAGUGUCAUACCUAUAUUUUAAUCACUUUUUCUAUAGGCGAGCUCCAUAAUGACAUCUUUCUGCAUAUAUAUUUUUUGUAGCGACUCCUUGGUUGCUGAACGAGGUCCCGGAUUUGGUCGAGUGGUCUCAUAAACUGGCCGCUUGUUCGACCUAUGAUAAGCGCAGGUGGCGAUACCUGUCUAACGGGAGAUAGGAGGCAAAGCAUCAUGCUAGGCGUUUGGUGGCUUAUUUACACAGAAUGGUACUUUUCUUUUUAGCGUACUAACUUAGCUGCUGCAGGUAUUGGAGAUUUUUCCCAUAUGAGGCCAUGUCCUCUAGGGGAGGAGGCGAGACUACCGACCUCGGGGUCGAGGGUCGAUGAUAAACGAAAAGAAUCUCUGAGGUGUGAGGAGGCUCGCAGCAGGGCGAGUCUUUCUGUUGGUUCAAGAGAGGCGAUUCGACCGAUCAUUCUGUUUUGGAGGCUUCCGUUCUCGAAAGAACAUUCCUUGUUUCUACUAACGGCGCUUCAACGAGUGAAGAGCGUGGGGUGCCUUCUUUUUCUCCUGAUAAAGGCACUUCGGAGGAUACUAAGCCAUCGGACAUUGGCUCGGCCUUUGGUGAGGCUGAGCGGUUCAGUUUUAUGGUAAGUUUGGUAAUCGACAUAGGACCAUUCUGGCUUCACACUCUUCCUUUUCUCAUUGAAUUUUCUUUCGCAGGCCUUUGAUAGGCUCAAAUCCGAACUACUUCGCUAUGAGGCUCGGUUGCGGAAAGCUUCGGAUAGGGAGAAAUCCCUUAAGCUUUUUUGUGUGAAAGAAAAAGCGAGCUAGUGUCCCUGCGGUGUGAGGCGGAUCGAAGCCGUAGCUGCGAGAGCUGUCUCGAGAGACAUGUAUCUUGUAUUUCAUGUUGACGUAUGCCCCUUCUUUCAUUUUCGGAGGUUAAUGUUUUGAUAUUUCAGUUGGAGAGCAAAACGAAAGAGCUGGAACGACUUUGGGGCGAAGUUGGCAAGGCCAAAUGUGAGUUCGACGAGUUGCAGGCCCAUGUAGAUGCCCAAGUUGCGGCCAAGGAGAGUGCUUUGGCUAAAGUUUCCACCCUGGAGAUGUGAAUCCAGACCGCUCACGCGAGUGAUUCUGCACGGGCGAACAUGAUCGCAAGGCUCGAGUCUGAGCUCUUAAAGGCGAAAGCCGAGGUGGUGAAUACCCAGGCCGAGGCUAUAAUGAGCAGCACUAGGGCGGAUCAGAGAGUGGCAGCCUAUUUGAAGAGUGUUGCCAGUGCUGGAGCUGAGCUGAGGAGAACUCUUGGUCGUGCGAGCAGUAGUAAAGAGUACGUAAAGUGCAAAUCUCGGAGGGAAAUAUUCGAGGAAGUUCACACUAGGGGUUUCAAUCUUUUGGAGGAGAUCGAGACAGCCAAGGCGGAGGAGUAUGAUGCCAAGUUCCUUCUGUCCGAUGUCGAAGAUAGCGAGGACGGGUCCGUCGGGUCGUAGUCCCCAAGGGGGGACGUCUAUUUUCUUUCUUUGUCUUUGUAUAUAGUGCUUCCACAUUACACCGUAAAUGGAUCUUGUAUUUUAUUACAUGUAUCUACAAGGGGGAAACCCCGCGAUUUUUGUAUCUUCCGGGUUCCUCUUUGCCGAGAUUCCGGCCAGAUCAAUCGACCUUUGAGUUGGUAGGAAUCCUUAGAUUCAUGAUACGGACCUGGGGCUCGUUGGGCUAGCCCGUAGGCUCUUACGCGCUUGGUCGAUGUGACCUUUUAUGUGGGCUGGCGACAAUAGCUCUUACGCCUUGGGCCGAUGCAGCCUUUUUUAGUGUGGGUUGGGGACAACUGCUUUUAUGCCUUGCUCUUAGACAUAUUUAGUCAACUAUUUUGGGUUCAGUAUCCGAAUCGGGUUACGACUCGAGCUCAUUCGACCCUCAAGUUUUGAGUUUACGUGGGCUGACGACAAUGGCUCUUACGCUUUGGUUGAUGCGACCAUUUAUGUGGGCUGGCGACAAUGGCUCUUAUGCCUUGGGCCGAUGCGACCUUUUUUAGUGUGAGCUAGUGACAACGGCUCUUACGCCUUGCUCUUAGGCAUAUUUAGUCAACUAUUUUGGGUUCAGUCUUCGAAUCGGGUUACGACUCGAGCUCAUUCGACCCUCAAGUUUUGUAUUUGUGUGGGCUGGCGACAAUGGCUCUUACACCUUGGGUCAAAGCGACCUUUUUGUGUGUGGCCCUAAGGCUUAUUAGGCUGGCGACAAUGGCUCUUACUCUUUGGUCGAUGCGACCAUUUAUGUGGGCUUUAUUUUUCCCUCAAGGAUUUUGAAAUAGUGUUUGCCUGACACUUCGACGGCUUAAUAAAAAACCUCAAUUGUGGGUCGUUAUAUGGCGAUGAUCGAGCACCUUGGGAGGUUUGGCUCGGAGGUUGAGUAUCUCGAAGCCGAUGUUUAGGAGCUGACGUGCUCGAAGCUCUUUUGUUGUAUCGAGGGUAGCCCAUUUAACCGGUUCUUUCCGAAGUAGAUUCGGAGUAGUUGAAGGCCUGUGAUUUUGUUGCGACGGUCGGGCAUCCACGAGUCGCGUUAGUUUGGCUGGUAUAGCCUUGUGACCGGAGUCACUUGUGUUCGGCCAGAGACUUUGAGUCCCGAGUGAAGUAGUUUUGGCAUCUAUAUCAAGGGUAUGCCUUUUUAGGGGUCUUAGAAGUUCGAUAUAUAGCCGAAACUUUCAUAUCGGGUUUAUGUUUUUAGUAAAGUCUUACAAGUUUUACAUGUCAUUGAGGCCUUACAGUUUUGGAUACUUGGUAUAAGUAUUGUUCAUGCCUUGCUUGAGGUCUUACAGAUAUCGUCACUUGGUAUAAGUGUAGUUCAUGCCUUGCCUGAGGUCUUACAGAUAUAGUUGAUGCCUUACGUAGGUCUUACGAGAUCUAGUUUGCCCGCUCGGAGUCUUACAGCCUCAGGUUUUGAUAAGUCAAUGAAGGUGGCGCUUGACGGAUAUCCCCGAGUCGUCGAGGGUCUCUUGACUCGGGAGCCAUUAUUUGCAAAAUUUGUAUUGCCUCAUCGAGGGCUUACGAUUUUGGAGAUCCCGACCUUGAGGCCGUACGUUUUUUGAGAUUUUGACGCCAGUCCCUGAGUAUUCAGGGCACUUUCGGCCUUGGAGAUGUUUUGUGAUUUUCUUGCUGACUCAUUAGGGGAUUAUGAGCUUGGAGUCCCGACCCGGAGGUCGUUCAGGUGUUGAAUUGUUGACGCCAGUCCCCGAGUGUUUGGGACAUUUUUGGCGGAGAAGUCGUUUUUGCGGAGGUGCCGAUCUUCUUUUGGAGUGCGAGAUGCUUUGAAAAAAGAUAUUCUUCAAUUAUUUGGUACAAGUGUACAUGUUUUCGCCGUCAGGGGUCUGACAUACAGACACGACUCGUUCGACCGUUUGGCUCGGUACAUCGUUUUCCGAUUGGGACCCCAUUUGGCGUUUCUUAGCUUUUUCGAUUGUAUGACCUUCCAGGGGGAUGCCCCCCAGUGUUUGGGGUCGAUUGCAAAAGAAGCCUUGAACACUUGUUGGGUCUUCCUUAGGUAGCAUAUAAGUGUUGCCUCAUUAAAAACCUUGCCGGUAAAAGAGUGCAACGGAUGCUUUAAAACCUUAAGGUCUUCGAGCUGGGUUAGCGCUUUGACUACUUCGGUCGGGCACCUGCAUAAGGGUUAGUACGAAAUAUGAAAUGAAAAGGGAGAUGGUUAUACCUUAGUCUGGGAUGUGUCGGUGAUGUUUCGAGGAUUGAUAUGUCCUAGUUACUCGAGAUGAGGAUGGGGUACAGUCCUUUACUUUGUUUAAUCGGGCUUAAUCGAAGGUAUAGUUUGAUUAACCUUCGGUUCUUUUGCGGGUGGAAGCAUUGGUGUUGGUACCACGUCGUGCACCGCAAACAUUUCCCUUGUCGCAUGAUGUUCCCCGUAAACGAUUUUAAUCUCAUCCUUUGUCGGGAAUUUCAUCAUUUGGUGGAGAGUGGACGGUACUGCUCUCAUGCAGUGUAUCCACGGCCAGUCGAACAAGGCGUUGUACCACAUAUCUCCUUCGAUGACAUGGAAUUUAGCAUUCUGGGUUGUGCCGGCCAGGGUGACUAGGAGGGUGAUUUCUCCUUUCGUUGUUUCACUUGUCAUGUUAAAUCCGUUGAGGACUCGAGUGGCGGGCACGAUUUGGUCAAGCAGUCCGAGCUGCUCUAUCACCCUCGACCUGAUUAUGUUGGCCGAGCUACCUGGAUCCACAAGUACACAUUUUAUUUGAAAAGUAUUUACAAGGAAAGAGAUUACCAGUGCGUCAUUGUGAGGUUAAGACAAGGUCUCGGUGUCCUCUUCGCUGAAUGUGAGGGCAUCCUCGGGUAUAUACCCCCACGUUCGCUUUUUUCUGGUGAUGGAUAUUUUUGUCCUUCUCAUCACGGGUUCCUGCGGGGCAUCGACGCCUCCUAAGAUCAUGUGGAUGACAUGUUAUGGCUCAUUUGUUUCAUUUUUCUUAGGUGUCUCACUUUCACGGAAAUGAUUUUUGGCUCGGUUGCUAAGGAAUUCCCGGAGAUGACCUUUGUUAAGUAGUCGAGUUACCUCUUCUCGGAGUUGGUGGCAAUCCUCAAUCAUGUGGCCGUGCGUGUUGUAAAACUCGUACACUAAGUUAUGAUUCCUUUGUGAAGGAUCAGAUUGUACAGGCCUGGGCCACCUAGCAUCUCUGAUUUUACAGAUGGCGAACACGAUGUCCAAUACGUCGACGUUGAAGUUAUAUUCUGAUAAGUGAGGUGCCCUCGUUGGCCCGGCGUUCCUAUCAAAUCUAGCUCUAUUGAUGAGUCCCCAAGGAUCCUGUCCUCGAUUUAUCCUUCGAUCAUUGCGAGGUGGGUUGCGCCUCGAGGCGUUCUUCCUGUCUUCGGUGUAUGGCUGAUAUCUCUCUUUGUUUGGCUUUGGUUCCUUCAUUGGGAGCCUGCUUGGGUAUACUGAGCCCGAGGAGGCUCCCAGCUGGUCGUCUUCGGUCCUGAUCUUCGACUGGUAUCGGUUGUGGACGUCCGACCAGGUCACAGCGGGAUAUUCGAUCAAAUUCUAUUUCAACUCUUUUGAAGCCAUUGAGCUUCGUUCAUUCAAACCUUGAGUGAAAGCCUGCACUGCCCGGUCGUCGGAGACUGGCGGUAGUUCCUCCGUUCUAUUUGGAAGCGAGAUACAAAUUCUCGCAGUAUCUCGUUCUCCCUUUGCUUGAUCUUGAAGACGUCAGAUUUCCUCAUUGCUACUUUGAUGGCACCGGCAUGUGAUUUUAUGAAGGAGUCUAUUAGCAUGGCAAAUGAAUCUACGGAGUUAGGAGCUAGGUUGUGAUACCACAUCAUGGCCCCCUUUAAGAGUGUUUCCCCAAACUUCUUUAGUAAGACGGACUCGAUCUCGUCAUCCUUUAUAUCGUUGCCCUUCACUGCACAAGUGUAGGCAGUAACGUGUUCAUUAGGGUUUGAGGUCCCGUUGUACUUUGGGAGUUCUGGCAUUCUGAACUUCUUUGGAAUGGGUUUCGGGGCCGCUUCCUAUGGGAACGGCCUUUGUAUGAACUUCUUCGAAUCCACGCCUUUCAGGACUGGGGAUGCGCUCGAAAUUUGGUCGACCCUGGAGUUGUAGGUCUCGACCUUCUUAUCGUCGUCUUCUAUCAUUUUCUCGCCCGAUUCGAUCCUUUUGGUGAGGUCCUCGAGCAUUUUUAUGAUGACAGGAUCGGCUAUCGACCCGUUAUUGCUCGAUCUAUCCGGUACCUGUUCGACUAGGGAAGCUGUCCUGGUGCUACCGUGCUAGGAGUUUUGUGGUGACUUUGUAGCUGAGCAAUAGCUAGUUGUUGUGCCUGUAACAUUUCAAAAAAUAACAUAAAGCCUAACCUCACGUUCUUCCUUAGUUGGGGUUUUCUGAGCUUCUUGUGGAUCUCCUUGAUGCAUGCUCCUGUUGGUAUGCGAGCUUAUAUCGACCCGUUGGGCGUCGCGUGAGAUUGCGUCCACGGGGACUGGUUCUGGUGCAUUCCCAGGGUUUUGUGGUGGCACACCAACACCUAGAACAUCCACACCGUUUUCUCCGUGGUCCUCAAGAUUGUUGUUUUCACCUCCAUUCACCGAGUUAGACAUUUUGACCUGCAAUCGAAGAUCUUGGACAAGAAAAAGCGUGAAAGAUAACUUGUGUUGUAUAGCUAAACCAGCAAGAAAAUAAUCACUAUUAUUUUUAGCCUCACGUUGGGCGCCAAACUGUUUACCGUGGAAAUGGUAAUAACAAUUAAUUUUGUUGAUGGAACUCUAAAAAUACGUGAUCUAUUUUUAUGCUAGUUGUUAAGUAGUUGAUGCUAUGUAUAUGAGACUUAGGCAUGAAAUGAGAGUUAAGGAUAGGCCAAUAAUCAAACCGUUAGGCCAAUUAUCGGGACCUUGAGCUCGUCGAUUCAGGGCCUCGAGGUCGAUCCCGGAGCUCGCCUACGAGCUAUCGGAGGUAGUGAAAUGCGACUAACAGUUAUAAUAAAAUUAACGGAUGUUCUUUAUGGCCAAUGAUAAGCAAUAAAUGAUGAUCAAAUAUGAUAAUAAUAAAUGAAAGCAAUAAUAUCAAGAGAAGAUGUUAGAGAGCAAAUAGAAUGUUCUUAUAUAUUUCGUAUGGAGUAACUGAAGCAACAACCCUUACAAAAUAACAAGGAUCCCCUUUAUAUAGGAGGGGAAUCCCAACAUAGUACAAAAUGCAUUAAUGACAAAGAAACGGAGAUGGGACAGCUAGAAGACAUCCUGAUUAAGGGCUAGGGUAGUCUUGUCAGUCCUAGCCACGUGCCUUGGGGACUCCCCAUUUCUACCGUGGUCGUGGCCAACGUUGUCCCAAGAUCGGGCCUCGACGAACCUCGAGGGAGGAGACUCGAUCAUAACCUUGUAGCCUCGAGACUUUGAGAUGGUUUUCUGAGGUGCCUCGAUGUCGAGAAACGGGCUCUCCGAUUUCACCGUAUACACAGAGUGGACCGAAAGCAACAAUAUGGUAGGUGAUUGGCAUGAUGUUAUCGACUUCCAGGGACAAUUUUGUGCCGUUGACAUUAAAGGAAGGACACUUCUUUUUAACUCAUCGUUUGCUGCAACAGAAAUUUCACCUCCCACGGUUGAUAACCCGGGCAAAUUCAAUAGCAGGAAACGGCUAGUGGAAUCAUGUGGAGAGCUGUUUACCAGAACAAAGUUCUGAAUUGGAGACAGUGGUGGCUGUAUACAGAUUUUGACCUGAGAUAUACGUAUAUAUAAAGAGCUUGUUAAAAUAUAUAUUUGGAAUAUAUCUAAACUCAUUAUCAGAUUUAAAUAAUGGAUGUGGGGAGACCCCACACAUUGCCUUAAUGUCCUGGAUUUCGCCUUUAAUUGGCAACAACGUAUGAUCUUGCUAUUCACUUCAUGUUACUUUGCUAGUAGAUGAGAUGCACACAAUGCAAAAUGUUAACUCAAAGAGGAGUUAAACAUAGAUAUAAACAAUGUGAAGAACAAAACAUAAGGUUACAGAAACUCACUAAGAUUAAGCAUCAGAUUUUUUUUCAACUGUUCAAAUAUAGUAAAGUUUGUGCAGUGCGUUAAGUGCCAAAAUAAGUAACAUAUAAACUUUUUUUUGGUAAUUAUAUUUUCAUUAAUCACCAAAGAAGUAAUUACAAAUCAGCAAAGUCAUCCUCGACUUGCUAUAUUCUUUACAUUCUUCUAUCACUAUACCUAUACUAUAAGCAGUACAUAAUGAACAUUAUAUAAGUGUUGCUGGUCAAUCUCUGUUCUUGCCUUCAGAAUUGGAGCGGCUGCAUCUUUACUCUUAUUACCCUUGUGCUCUAAUGUUGCAUAUACAUGCCACUUCUCUAGCUAUUUGUUCUGCAUUCCUUGAUUUCUCUUCAAAAAUUCUAUUGUUUCUCUCCUUCCAUAUCCCAUAAAUGUAUUCAGCAUAUAUCAUUUUCAGUAUUCUAGCUUUGCACGACUUUCCUUUGGAUUGUAUAAUCACCCAUGUAACCAUCUGCGUCCAAGGGAUCACUGAAGCAUCACACAUUUGCAGCCAUUUCAGUAAUCUACACCACACUGCUCUGGAGAAGCUGCAUUCACCAAAUAGAUGCAUAUGUGAUUCAUCUGCACUAUUACAUAAGUUGCAUCUUGGAUUUACUUGGAUUCCCCAUUUAGUUAGCCUAUCUGCUGUGAGCAUUCUUCCAUGGCAUUGGAUCCACAUUGUGAAUACUGAUUUAGGUCUAGCUUCAUUGUGAAACAUCAAAGCUCCCCAUGCAACUUUGUUGUGGUUUCCCAGUAGACCUAGAUAAAUCUGCUUAAUAACACUUUGUCUUUGCUUUACUUCUGGCAGUUGUUGUAUUGUCUUCCUUGCUUCCAUAAUCUUCCUCACCAUCCAGCUUGCUUGUUGAGGUAUGUUCAUUUCUAGCAUAUUUUGCCUCUUGAUGUAAUAUGUGUGGAUCCAUCUUAUCCAAGCUUUGUCUUACUUUUGUGCCAAAUCCCAGUAAUUUUUGUAAUGGUUGCCUUGUUCCACACUUGGAGAUUCAUUAUGUUAUAGCCUCCUACUGAUUUAGGCAGACACAUUUUCUCCCAAGCUAUCAAUGCUCUCUUUGUAAUUGUAUUGGUACCAGACCAUAUGUAGCUUCUACAAUAUGCCUCUAUUAAUUUCAUCACUUUAGCUGGCAAAAUGAACACUUGAGCCCAAUACGAUUGAAUGCCAAAAAUCACUAUUUGUACUAACUGCACUCUACCAGCAUAAGACAACUUCCGAGCAGUGCAAGAGGAAAUUCUUGCUACUAUUUUCUCGAUCAGUGGUUGCCAUUGCAUAGCAGUUAACUUCUUUGUGUCCAGAGGAAUUCCCAAGUAUUUAAAAGGUAGUUCCCAUAUGGAGUAACCAGUAUCUUGCAAAAUUUUCUCCUUUUCUGUUGUGUCACACCACCAAAAUAAAUGGCACUCUUAUUAAGAUUGGCUUGUAAUCCAGAGGCUGCUGAGAAUUGUUUAAAACAGGCAUGCAAAGCUUGAACUGACUUACUAUCACCUCUGGAAAACAUCAACAAAUCAUCUGCAAAACUGAGGUGAGUUAUGUUGAGUUCGUCACACCCUGGAUGAAAUUUGUAAUCUUUAGCUUGCUUCAAUCCUCUAAGUAGUCUACUUAAGUAUUCCAUUGCAAUAGCAAAUAGAAAUGGUGACAUGGGGUCACCCUGUCUAAGUCCUUUGGAAGCUACAAAAGGCUUUGUCAAUUCAGCAUUGAUCAUAAUCGAAUAACUCACUAUUGACAAACAUACUUUCACCCAUUGGAUGAACUUUGUAGGGAAGCAUAGAUACUCCAAUAGUUGCUCCAAAUAUACACAUUCCACUGAAUUAUAGGCUUUCAUCAUGUCAACCUUCAACAUGCAUCUAGGAGAAAUAUAUUUCCUGUUGUAAGCCUUGACUAAUUCAUGAGCUAAUAUAAUGUUAUCAGCUAUUUUUCUUCCAGGAAUAAACCCUACUUGUGCUUCAGAAAUGAUAUGUGGCAUUAUCUUCUGUAAUCUGCAAGCAAUGACUUUUGAGAUGAGCUUGUAUAACAUAGUACAACAGGCAAUGGGUCUAAAGUCCUUGAUUGUCACAGGAUUAGGGAUUUUAGGUAGUAAAGUAAUGGUAGUGCAAUUGAUUGCUGGAAACAUCACCCCAGUAUGAAAGAAUUCUUUCACUGCUACAUAUACCUCUUCUUUGAUCACUGGCCAAGCUUUCUUGAAAAUUUUUGCAUUGUAACCAUUUAUACCAGGAGCUUUAUUACUUCAUAUACCCUUCAUCCCCUCAUAUAUAUCUCUUGAUCAGUUACUUCUGCAUUCAGUUCUUGUUGUUGUUGCUAUGUUAAGGUUGACCCAUUUCUCAUCACCAUCAUAUUAACAGCAGGUAGGACAUGUGCACCGGUUCCCAUCAAGCUUUUGUAAAAGUUAACUAUCUCCUCCUUGAUAGUUUUUGGCUCUGUUAUAAGGCUACCUGAUAAUGCUUGUAAUUCUGUGAUUUUUUAUUUUUUUUUUGCUGCCUCUCCUUGAUGACUGCAGAAAAGAAGUUGUUGGAAUCUCCCAAUUUGAUCCAAUUAGCUCUAGCCUUUUGCUGUAGAAUUCCUUCUUCCACCAAUGACCAUGUUUCCAGAUUAUGUAACCAUUUUUUCUCUUGGUCUUGUAACAGAUCAGUGUAGUUUGUUUGCAACUGGUUUUGUAUGUAAACAACAGUUUGUCUAGCUUGUGCAAUCUUUUUAGGUACUCAUCUAAAUUCAGUUGCAUUUAAAUGUCUAAACUGGCUUUUCAUCUCUUUAAGCUUGAGCCAGAUGUUUUUCAUUUUCCAUGUUGCCUUGUUCAUGUUCCAGCUUUCAGCAACUAUCAGAUUAAAAUUUGGAUAAUUGAUCCACACAUUGAAAAAUCUGAAAGGGCAUUUUGUAUGAAUCUUGGGUUGCCUUAUAUUGAUACACAUGGGAUUGUGAUCUGAGAUAUAAGGCUCCCCAUAUUCAGUGAUUAGAUGACCAUAAUUCAUCAUCCAUUCAUCAUUUCCAAACACCCUACCUAUACAACUCCACACUCUGUCUUUACAUUGUUGCUUGUUAGUCCAUGUAAAAUAAUCCCCUCUCCAAGGCAACUCUGUAAUGCAUAUAUCAUGGCACAGUUCAGCAAAUUCCCUUAUGUCUGCAUUACUCACAAGUACCUUAGAUAUUCUAUCUUGGGGUGUGAGUAUUGCAUUGAAAUCUCCCCCUAACAUCCAAGGUCAUGUAGUUGCUUUUGUUAUUCUUUUUAUGUGUUGCCAUAUAUUCUUCCUUUGAUCAGCAGUAUUCUGUCCAUAAACUACAGUGAGGUAACAUUGCAGCCCAUUUUGUUUCCCUAUUACUUGACAGUGAAUGAACUGGUCUUAUUUGUCAAGUGGUUGUACUGCAUACACUUGAUCAUCCCAUACAAUUCACCCUUCCAUUCACAGCAUAUUCAUAAUUAGUCAGCAUGUUCCAUCCAGGUGUUAUUUUACUAAGCACUUUUCCUGUUUUAGCUUCUUUCACCUUUGUUUCAACUAUACCAACCAGCUUGAUAUGUUUGUCCUUUAUGUACUGCUUUAUUUCUUUUUGUUUAUAGCCAUUCUUUCACAUGUUCAUUGCUUUGUCUUUCAAUUGUUUUCCCUUUAUCCUUAGUCACUGCUUAAUUUCCAAUAAUUUCAGCAGCUGUUAGAACAGUUUCCAUCAUUUGGUUCUGCCGGCUGAUGUUGUCCCUGCCCUUUAAUUUGCCAUCUCAUAGUAACUUCACCCUGCUUUCUUCUUUCUUGAGGCCGCUCUUCCUUAUGUGCUUAUUCAAUGCACAUUCAUGCCCAAUCUUCAGACAUUCUAUGCAGUAGUGUGGUUUCCAUUCACACUCCACUUGUUGCUGAAACUUUUUCCCUGAAGGCUCUUGCAAUAUCAAUUCUGUUGGAAGUUUUUUUUGUGACAUUAGCUUCCACCAGAAUCCUAGCAUAAGAAAUACGAGUCUGAUUUGUUGUGCAUUCAUCUGCAAACAAAGGCUUUUGAAUGGCACUAGCCAAUUGACUCAAAGUCUUGUUUCCCCAGUAGCUUAUCAGAAGCUUAGGAAAAGUAAUCCACAAAGGUAUCUCAGUCAGAAACUCUGCCUUAAGAUCGAAAUCAGGAGUCCAUUGUUUUAAGAUCAUUGGUCUUCCAUUGAUUGUAUAUGGACCUCCAUAGAGAAUGUCUUUCAAAACACCUAGUGUAUUGAACUUAGCUAUGUAAUAGCCAUCUUUAUGUAAGUACAGAACUGGAAUUACCACACGACUCCAAGUUUGAGCUAUAUACCUCUCCAUAAAUUUAUACCUUAGUGUAUUCCCAAUUACAUAGAUAAUUAGGGCACACUCCCACUUUUUAUUUUGAGCAUCAAUUCCAUCCUUAUCUAGCUUGACCACAAUAUUAUCUACUAUUUCUGGUGGUAUGUACGAUAAUACCAUACCAUUUUCUGAAGAUUUGUUGCCAGCAAACAAGUUUGCACAUGUGUUUCCCUGCACCGGAGCCUCUGCAUGUGGCUUUGGCGCAGCAGUCACCUCUUCUGUUACUGUUUCAUUGGAUUUCAGCUUAGUUCCUACUACUUCUCCUUUGUCCUUCAUAUUUCCCACUCCUAAAAUUACCAGCGUGCCUUCGCAUGACGACGAAGUCACAUUCAUCUGAAUUGCACUGAGAUUUAGUCUUUUUGUCGGUCCCUUAGUGUUGCUUGGAGAACCUAGUUUCUGAACACUAGGUUGAAAUUGGCUUCCGAUUAGCUAGUGUAUUUGCGAUUACCGUAGCACUUAUGGCUUCUCCGAUAGUCACGAGUGGCUCUCGUUUAGGUCGACCGUGCUUUCUCGUCAUGGCUGGCUUUUUCAAACGGCGUACUUUAGCAUAUCGUGCGCCGAGAGACUAGAGAGAGAAAGCUUUUACAAUUUUCAGUGUUAGCUUUUACAAUAUACUUAAGUUGUGAGGUUUUGAAAUUUAACUUUCAUAGAAUUAAGUUGCAUGAUCAAAUUAUAAAUUAGUGGAGUAUUCAACAUUAAGAAUGUUCUUUUCGAGACAUGGAAUUUUUAGAACUUAAUAAUUUAGGCGGAAGGCGUGUACAUGCAUUUUAUAACGAAACAAUUACUUGAUAGUAGGAUAAUAAUAGUGUGUAUCAGACUAUCCAGGAUUGGAAUAUGCUGCUUGCUAUCCAACAAAGUAAACAGCAGGACUUGUGCAAAGAAAGACUGAAAAGGGCAACAACGGAGAAGGCAAAAUUAAGCAAUGACAAUUGCUCAAAAAUGCCAAGCUGAUCGAUGGUAGCGGCCGACAGAGUUUGGUUAGUAUUUCAGGUUGUCCUCUUUAAGGACCUGAUUUGUGCUGCUGAUGUCCCUUCUCUCGCACACCCUUUUAUCUUUUAACAGCAAAAGUUGCAGAUCCGAUCAAGAACAGAGAGCUUGCUCCGCAUUAGAACUUCAAUUGGGUGACAACCUGGUUGGUGGGUUUACCAUAAACAAUACCCUCGGGAACAAGCCUCUUCCUUCCACGAUCUCUACAACCAACAUGGCAGAUCACAACGCCUUGUUUGGCUUUGUAGGUCUGGUAACAUGUACAAUGGGUGGGAGCUGCGAUACUCGGCACUUUACUCUAAGCAAGAACCUAAUCACAUCAUACUGCUUCUUCCUCCAUACCUCAGACACACAAGUAUAUCCCCCACUGAAUCAGUUUGGGCGCAGAGGUCUCUCCACUCAGUCCUGCCUCUCUCCCUCUAGGCUCAGCUAUCAAUUAGGUAUACAGCUCAUUAUAUUUACAUUUAUUUUACCACUUUUUACCUAAAAAUUAUUACAUCAAUACGUUUCAAGAAAAAAUAUUUCUUAGAAUAAAAGAGUUCCAAUGACUUCUCUGAAUUUGACUCAAAAUAUCACCUUCCACCAACGAUGGGAGCUAAUAGCAGCGGUUCAACAUUUUCAGACUUUACUUUCACAAAUAAAUAAGUUCUCCCCCUAAUCCUUUUUUGUGAAGAUUUCCUUUACUUUUUUCCAUGUAACUCCCCUCUCACCCCCUCCCCCUCCCCCUCCCCCUCCCCCUCCCCCCACCCCAAAGAAAUCAUAGCUACACCACUUUGGUAUUAUUCUCUUCUUCAGUUCUUCCUAAAAGUCGGAGGUGGACACGUGAAACCUCCAUUGGAUCUUUGAAGUAUACAACCUAAGCUAGCUGAAGAAAUCUCAGAUAAGGUGCAUGAUGGGUACAAUUGUAUAAACCCCUAAACAUGGUAGCAACUAGAGUAUACAUCUUCCAAUAGAAUCCGGACUGUGAGAUAAUGGAGAGAGGAAAGUGUGUGAGUGGCCUAGGGAUGGGAUUUGACUGUAAUUAACUGUCAAGUGAUUGAUGAACUCACAUUCCCGUUCUGUAUGUCUGGCAAAACAACAAUAACAGCUAUUCAAGUAAGAUGGAAACAAUAGAGAAAUAUACACGGAAUCGAAUGACCUUAUCCUGAAACGGUACUCAUUACAAGGUCCUUAUGCGUAGAUUUUCUUCUAUGCAUUCCCUUAAUUUUGUCAAAAUCAAUAUCCAACUAAUGAGUAUCGACAACAAGGUGGCAUGUCAUGAAAAAAACAUGAGAUCAAAAACCAAUACAAUUAUGGAAGGGAAUCUUUUACAACUAGAGCUUUCUAUCUAUAAUGUGAACUGGCAGCAAUAGUCCCACAUAUUUUAAGCUAUGUUUCCUCAGUGCACUAUACAUAUUUAAGCUGAUAGAUGUUUCCUCACUGCACUACCCGAAUGAUGAGCAAAGUACUUUUGCUUGAGUAGUACAUACGGGUAUCCAAAAAGUGACAGCAAAUGUGCAGGCUUUGAGAAGGAAAGUAUUUCAUACCAAACUUGGUUGUUCUCGUCCAAUGCUAUUGAAAAACGUUCUUCGCCAGCCUGCUCAAAUAAGAGGUAUCACGAACAGCGUCUAUUGUGUAGUUACCACAAUAUAAAGGAGAAUGAUAGUAAGAUGUGAUGAUAAACAUAAGUCUUUAGAAAGAAUAUAAAAUUAUUGUUUCUAAUAAACAUGACAGUAUGUUAGACAUAUGCCCCCUUCACGUUAACCUUUUGCAAUGGGACACUUAGCAGCAUAUUAUUGAAACGGAAUCUUAAUUCCUUAAUAUUUGUUUUGCAACUAUAGCUAGAGCGAUUAUCCAGAUACAGAGUGACACGAAACUAAUUAUUUUUAUUUUUUUUUGAUGACCGAGAAAUCUGUGCAGCCUUCGAAACUNNNN